rnacentral:rRNA from 1 species
UGGCGGACGGGUGAGUAACGCGUGGGUAACCUGCCUUACACAGGGGGAUAACACUUAGAAAUAGGUGCUAAUACCGCAUAAGCGCACAGUCCCGCAUGGGACAGAGUGAAAAACAUUAGUGGUGUAAGAUGGACCCGCGUCUGAUUAGCUUGUUGGCGGGGUAACGGCCCACCAAGGCGACGAUCAGUAGCCGGCCUGAGAGGGUGGACGGCCACAUUGGGACUGAGACACGGCCCAAACUCCUACGGGAGGCAGCAG